CAGCAGCCGCGGUAAUACGAAGGGUGCAAGCGUUAAUCGGAAUUACUGGGCGUAAAGCGAGCGUAGGCGGUUUGUUAAGUCUGUUGUGAAAUCCCCAGGCUCAACCUGGGAAUGGCAAUGGAUACUGGCAAGCUAGAGUGUGUCAGAGGAUGGUGGAAUUCCCGGUGUAGCGGUGAAAUGCGUAGAGAUCGGGAGGAACAUCAGUGGCGAAGGCGGCCAUCUGGGACAACACUGACGCUGAGGCACGAAAGCGUGGGGAGCAAACAGGAUUAGAUACCCCCGUAGUCCCUGUCUCUUAUAC
rnacentral:rRNA from 1 species